GUGAGCCGUAGCACGGUGACGUGCUCAUACGGUUCGGAGAGCACUUGAGUAAUCUUAUAAUGAGGUGAAAUUUUUACUCUAU
rnacentral:ncRNA from 1 species